CCUACGGGAGGCAGCAGUGAGGAAUAUUGGUCAAUGGGCGAGAGCCUGAACCAGCCAAGUCGCGUGAGGGAGUACUGCCCUAUGGGUUGUAAACCUCUUUUGUCGGGGAGCACAAGCCGGACGUGUCCGGCUGUGAGAGUAACCGAAGAAAAAGCAUCGGCUACCUCCGUUCCCGCAGCCGCGGUCAUACGGAGGCUGCGAGCGUUAUCCGGAUUUAUUGGGUUUAAAGGGAGCGUGGGCGGGUCUUUAAGCGUGCCGUGAAAUUGUGUGGCUCAACCAUGAGAGUGCGGCGCGAACUGGAUACUUUGAGGGCGCUGAAGGCAGGCGGAAUUCGUGGUGGAGCGGUGAAAUGCUUAGAUAUCACGAAGAACCCCGAUUGCGAAGGCAGCCUGCCGCAGCGUUACUGACGCUGAAGCUCGAAAGCGCGGGUAGCGAACAGGAUUAGAUACCCGGGUAGUC
rnacentral:rRNA from 1 species